AGAAGGGCAAACUGGCUUUGGGAACCAGGUGCAUGCUUUCAGCAGCGAGGAUGAGAAAGGACUCCUCGCUCCCGGAUUCCGAAGGACCGAAAUAGAGGAAGUUCCCGGAGGCCGUUCUGCUGACGUUCCUGACGUCCCUGUCGUCUGAAGGCCUGGUGGCUGACUGUGGGAGUUGCCAUAACCCCCGCUUCCCCCAGUGUCUCCUGGGACUGGAUUGAAGCGGCGGUCCAGUCCCACAGGCCUGCGGAGUUGCGGCACUCCUAAUUGUGCAUCCUCAGCCAAAGUCAACUUGGAUUCAGCCUGUAAAGUCACACACCUGAAGAUGAACAGUCAGAAGAAAAGAAAAGAUAUGGAACCUGCUUGUACCUGGAGUUUGUUGUCUGCAGAGAAAGCUGCUUCUAGUUCUCUGGCUUCAUUUUCAUGGAAGGAGCUUACAGAUUACCGGGAAACAUACAGAAAACAUCUAAGAGAAAAAUACCUAAAAAUAGGAGUUGAUAAAUGUUAUCACCAUGGCAAGCAUAUAGAGUCACGACUGCUUCUUGUAAAAGAGCAUGGUAUAUCAGAAAAGACACCAUGUGGAAUUCCUCAACAAGAUCAUUUUAUUGAGAUGGAACAUGUAUUUGAUCCUAAUGAAGAAGGCUCCAGCUCAUCCAGAACUGUGGUGCUUCAGGGGUGUGCUGGGAUUGGGAAAACAGCUGUAGUGCACAAGUUCAUGUUCGACUGGGCAGCAGGAAUGGUUGCUCCAGGCAGGUUUGACUAUCUCAUUUAUGUCAAUUGCAGAGAAAUUAGCCACACUAAUAAUCUUAAUGCUGCUGACCUGAUCACUAACACAUUUCAAGAUAUAAAGGGACCAAUCCUGGACAUUAUUCUUCUGUAUCCAGAGAAGCUCCUAUUUAUUCUUGAUGGAUUCCCUGAGCUGCAAUACCAUGUGGGUGACCAAGAAGAGGAUCUUACUGCUAAUCCCCAGGAGAGGAAGCCAGUAGAGACACUCUUGUGCAGUUUGGUGAAGAAAAAACUGUUUCCUGAAUCCUCUCUCCUGAUAACUGCCCGGCUCACAGCCGUGAAGAAGUUCCACUCUCUGUUAAAACAACCUAUCCAGGCAGAAGUCCUAUGGUAUACAGAUGCUGAGAAGAGAGCAUAUUUCUUGAGUCAGUUUUCAGGUGCUAAUGCAGCAAUGAAGGUCUUCUAUGGUUUGCGAGACAGUGAAGGCCUUGAUAUUAUGUCUUCUCUUCCCAUUGUCUCCUGGAUGUUAUGCAGGGUCCUGCAGUCACAGGGAGAUGGUGAUAGAACUGUUUUGCAGUCCCUUCAGACCAUGACUGACAUGUAUUUGUUCUACUUUUCUCAGUGCCUCAAAACUCUUACAGGCAUCUCAAUGUGGAAGGGACAAAGUUGCCUGUGGGGCCUUUGCUCUUUAGCUGCAGAGGGACUACAGAAGCAUCAGGUUCUGUUUGCAGUCAGUGACCUUAGAAGACAUGGGAUAGGAGUUUAUGAUACCAACUGCACUUUUCUCAAUCACUUUCUGAAAAAAGUUGAAGAUGUCAAUGUCUACACUUUUCUUCACUUCAGUUUCCAAGAAUUCCUGACUGCUGUGUUCUAUGCCCUAAAGAAUGACCAUAGCUGGAUGUUUUUGGAUCAUGUGCAGAAAACAUGGCAAGAAAUAUUCCAACAAUAUGGAAAAAGUUUUUCAUCACCAAUGAUACAAUUUUUAUUUGGUCUUUUACAUAAAGGAAAAGCAAAGACUGUGGAAACUACUUUUGGGAGAAAAGUCUCUCCAGGACUUCGAGAAGAGUUAUUGAAGUGGACUGAGAGAGAAACAAAGGAUAAAUCUUCUAGAUUACAGAUUGAGCCAGUGGACCUUUUUCACUGUUUGUAUGAGAUACAGGAAGAAGAAUAUGCAAAAAGGAUAAUUGAUAAUUUACAACCAAUUAUACUACUCCAACCUACCUAUACAAAAAUGGACAUUCUGGCUAUGUCAUUCUGUAUAAAAAGCAGUCACAGUCCCCUGUCAGUGUCUCUGAAGUGUCAGCACCUACUUGGGUUUGAGGAGGAAGAGCAAACCACAGCAUUCAAGCCAACAGUCUUAACAUAUAAUCAGUCCUUUCAGCUGCACAAUUUCCCAGUAUCUCAGCUACACUUGCUUUGCCAAGCACUGCGUAAUCCAUACUGUAAAAUCAAAGAUCUGAAACUGAUUUUCUGCCACCUCACAGCUUCUUGUGGUAAGGACCUCUCCUCAGUAUUUGAAACCAACCGGUGUCUGACAGAUUUGGAAUUUGUGAAAAAUACCCUGGAAGAUUCAGGGAUGAAGCUUCUUUGUGAAGGACUGAAACAUCCAAAUUGUAUAUUACAGACAUUGAGGUUGUAUCGGUGCCUUAUCUCUCCUACAUCUUGUGGGGCACUUGCUGCUGUGCUUAGCACCAGCCAGUGGCUCACUGAGCUGGAAUUUAGUGAAACAAAAUUGGAAGCUUCAGCUUUGAAAUUGCUCUGUGAAGGCUUAAAAGAUCCAGGUUGCAAAUUACAGAAGCUCAAGUUGUGUGCAAGCCUUCUCCCAGAAAGCUCAGCGGCUGUUUGCAAGUAUCUUGCCUCUGUUCUCAUUUGCAACCCGCACCUCACUGAGUUGGACCUGAGUGAAAAUCCCCUGGGGGACAAAGGGGUGAAGUAUCUUUGUGAGGGUCUUAGACAUUCCAAUUGUAAAGUGGAGAAACUAGACUUAAGCAAAUGUAACCUCACAGAUGCUAGCUGUGUGGAGCUGUCUUCUUUCUUGCAAGUGAGUCACACUUUAAAAGAAUUGUUUGUGUUUGCCAAUGUCCUGGGGGACACAGGAGUACAGCAUCUCUGUGAAGGUCUGCUGCAUGCAAAGGGCGUAAUUGAGAAUCUUGUGCUUUCUGAAUGUUCCCUCUCUGCAGCUUCUUGUGAACCCCUCGCUCAAGUCCUGAGCUCCACCCGGAGCCUGACAAGACUGCUUCUGAUUAAUAACAGAAUUGAAGAUUUGGGACUGAAAUUGCUGUGUGAAGGAUUAAAACAGCCUGACUGUCAGUUAAAGGAUCUGGCGUUGUGGACCUGUCAUCUGACUGGAGCAUGUUGCCGGGAUUUGUGCAACACACUGUAUACAAAUGAACACCUGAGAGACCUUGACCUCAGUGACAAUGCCUUAGGGGAUGAGGGCAUGCAGGUUCUAUGUGAAGGGCUGAAACACCCCUGCUGCAAACUACAGACCUUGUGGUUAGCAGAAUGUCAUCUCACAGAUGCAUGCUGUGGAGCCCUUGCCUCUGUUCUCAACAGAAAUGAGAACUUAACAUUGCUAGACUUAAGUGGAAAUGACUUCAAGGAUUUUGGAGUGCAAAUACUGUGUGAUGCACUGAUUCAUCCAAUAUGUAAACUUCAGACAUUCUAACCAACCUUCAAACCCUUGUAACUUGUCAAUCCACAAGUUGAGAGCAGUGUGCAAUUGUAAUUUUGAAUAGAAAAUAAAGGACACACAGAGUAGACACAAUAUGUUGACUUCAAAUAAAUUUUUAGUACUAGAAUGCAUAUAAAACAAAACUGAAAUCAAUGGAAACAGGUACUAAUCCAAGUUAGGUAAGAGGAACAUAUGGAUCAUUUAAUAUGCAUUGACACAGAUCAUUUACAUGAAGAUACAUUUAGAAAGAUGGAAGCUUUAAAAAUGAGCAAGCCUGGAAUCACCUGGUAGUUCCCAAGGAGAGCCCCUGAACUGACUUGAUAUAGACCCUCUGCAUUUGGUACCAUCUUUAACAACUGUGCAGUAUUAUUUUUCCAAAUCUCUUGACCUUUGCUGAGGAAUCGUCUAUGAAAUAAGCAUCAGUGAUUGAAAUUUCUUACAUAAAACCAUCCAUUAAAUAGGAUGUAAAAGGCAGAAGCACCUUAUUUCAAAUGUUUUCAGCAAUAAUACCUUAAAUUCAUAUAUUGUAUUACCAUGUUUACUGUACUGUCACAAGAACCCUCUGAGGUGAGAAAGAGGUUCAGAAAAGAUGUGACUAGCUCCAGGUCAUACACAUUAUUAGUGAGAGAAUUGAGACUGGAAUAUAGCCAGGUCUCCUAACUCCUAGACCAUGCAGAGAAACAAUAGGAAAAAAAAUACAUGAAUGUGUCUACUUAAACAAGAUCCUUGAAAUGAUAAAAAGACAAGGAAAUAUACAAACAUAUAUUAUAGCUUAUGGUGCUGAUUUUAAGUAAACUUAUAGUUCGUGAAGGAGAGAAGAAUGAACUAGAUCAAAAGAGAAAGUCUCAUGGAGGAGGUAAGACUUGAUGUUGGUCUUGAAGAAUGAGGAGGAUUGAGAUAAGCAAAGGUAUAAUAGACCUUGGCUUUAAGACUGCAGGGUAACCAAGUGUGGUGACACAUGCCUGUAAUCUCAGCAGCUCAGGAGGCUGAGGCAGGAAGAUUGCCAACCUCAGCAAUUUAGUGAGUUCAAGGCCAACCUCAGCAACUAAGUGAAACCCUGUCUAAAACAAUAAGAAGGGCUGGGGAUGUGGCUCAGUGGUUUAGCAUCCUUGGGUUCAAUCCCUGGUACCAAAAAAUAAAAAUAAAAAAUAAAAAAGACUACAGGGUAACAGGACUGUUUUUGUAUCUCACUAAAAGAUACUAGGGAGAGAGAAAUGUUUGCUUUAGAAUUUCAUGAGCUACCAUAGUAUCCAUACUACUAAGCUCCUAAGAGUGCUCUCCAGUUCCCAGUCUUAAUUCCUUUUCUGAACUUUUAAUAUCUCAUAAAUGUGUUCAUAUUUGUUCAUGGACUACCAAGACUAAUUCAUUCCUCAUACCUGACAUCUCACUUAUCCCAACAGUGAUCCUUCAUACCACCCUAUUUCUAUCUCUGCCUAGUUUCCACAAAAUGUCAGAUGAGACAAAUGCAGAAAGAGUGCUAGGCAAGGAAAAUAGCACACACUCAUUGAAAUAGGUGUGAAUGGGGUAUGGGAUCAACAAAAAGAGGCCAACCUUAUUAAAGUAUAGAGUUGUCCCUGUAAGCUAUUUAACUAGCUGUGUGAUCCUCAAUAAUUCACUUAGAUUCCUAGACUCUCCAUUUUUUUUAUCUAUAAAAUUUGGAUAAAUUUAUUUUAGCCUUGAAGGACUGUUUCCCAACAUGUUUCCUACUCCAGUAGGCAGCAAUUAAUUGUACUUGUCUGCAUGAGUGUUUACUUAUAGUAUCACUCAUCUGUGUUAUCUUUGAACUCCUAGAUUUUCUUGCUGUACUAAUUAGUGCUAAUGGUCCAUUUGAACUAAAUAUGUACUGGAGGCAGUGAAUCUAGUGGCAGAAGAGACACAGUGAGAUGGUACUUCAGGUGAGGAACUGAGGAAGAGUCCAGCUGUUCCAUGACCUCACCCAUAAUUGUAUAGUGUUUACCACAUCCUGGGAGAUGGUAACUCUCAGUAAGGAGACCAGGUCUGUCCUGAGAAGAAUAAUCAAAAUAGUUUGUCUCCAGAUUAAUCAAGUUCCUCUUUCCCUUUAUUUAUUUAACAUAUAUUUAUUGAACAUUUAUUAUGUGCCAGGUUUUAUGCUAAUUGUUGGUUUUACAGAGAUGAAUAUGCCUUUUUCUGAGCACUUCCCCUUCUGUAUUCUCUGUUUACCCUAGUUCCUCUGUCAGUCCAGUAAAAAGCUGAUAAAACUCAUUCAUAUUAAGGACCUAAAGAUAUAAAGUUAAAAGAAAAAUUGCAGAACAGUGUGUGUGUGCUUAUUUGUAUUUAGUUUGUAAACAAAAUCAUGUAUAUGAAUUCGUAUGUGUGUAUCCAGAAAAAUCUAUGGAAGAAUAUUUACAAUUAAUAAUAAACACUGAUUAGCUCUGGCAAGAAGAAUUUGGCAAGCAGAGCAAUAAGGAGAAAAAGAAAGAAACUUUUCAUCUAUGGUCUUCUGUUCUACUUGAUGUUUUUAACAUGUGCAUGUAUUACUUUUAUAAUUAAUAGACUUGCUGAUAAAAAUAAAAAUCAUA